UACGGGGGGAGCAAGCGUUGUUCGGAUUUACUGGGCGUAAAGGGCGCGUAGGCGGCGCAACAAGUCACUUGUGAAAUCUCCGGGCUUAACCCGGAGCGGCCAAGUGAUACUGUCGUGCUAGAGUGCGGAAGGGGCUACUGGAAUUCUCGGUGUAGCGGUGAAAUGCGUAGAUAUCGAGAGGAACACCAGUGGCGAAGGCGGCUCACUGGCUCGGUACUGACGCUGAGGUGCGAAAGCGUGGGGAGCGAACGGG
rnacentral:rRNA from 1 species